UUCUUCUUCUUCUUCUUCUUCCAAUCGACUUUCCAUAAUGGUGGAGCUAACCUCAUUGGGGGCAGGCCAAGCACCUUGGUGCAUUUGGUGAAACCUCGAUGAGCCUCUAUGAGGUCACCCACCUUUGCUGGUUUAAGGCCAUGUCUUCCCCGCCCAGUUCACCUCUCGUCUGAGGAGCACCAUUUCACAACUAUGUUCUUAAGUUUGUAGGGAACAAGUAAAAAGGGGGAAAA
rnacentral:misc_RNA from 1 species